UAAACUCAAAGGAAUUGACGGGGCCCCGCACAAGCGGCGGAGCAUGCGGAUUAAUUCGAUGCAACGCGUAGAACCUUACCUGGGUUUGACAUGGAUCGGGAGUGCUCAGAGAUGGGUGUGCCUCUUUUGGGGUCGGUUCACAGGUGGUGCAUGGCUGUCGUCAGCUCGUGUCGUGAGAUGUUGGGUUAAGUCCCGCAACGAGCGCAACCCUUGUUCACUGUUGCCAGCACGUUAUGGUGGGGACUCAGUGGAGACCGCCGGGGUCAACUCGGAGGAGGGUGGGGAUGACGUCAAGUCAUCAUGCCCCUUAUGUCCAGGGCUUCACGCAUGCUACAAUGGCUGGUUCAGAGAGUGGCGAGCCUGUGAGGGUGAACGAUUCUCGGAAAGCCGGACUUCAGUUCGGAUUGGGGUCUG
rnacentral:rRNA from 1 species